GUUUAAAUAUUAGAAAAUAAAAAUCAUUCCCAAAGGUUGGUGAGAACUCUUUCCUCAAAAGGUCCUUCCCGGAUUAAAGCAUAGAUACCACCGCCGCCACCGCCGCCUCCUCCGCCCCUCCCUCCACCGCCCGAUCAAUCACCCCGUUCAUCUCCACCUCCCCCGUCUUCAUCUUCUCCGGUCUCACCAAUUAAGAAAUCACUCAGCACCCUCGCACCGAGAUCCUCCAUCUCAGCACCAACAUCGCAUACCAAUUAACAAACUUUGUGGACUUCCGUCUUUGGGCUACUCAUUUUCAAGAUUUCUGCAAUUCUAUUUAGUGCUAUUUGUGCAUCUGCAUUUCAUUUUUGUAGUCUCACAUCAUUUAACUACUUAGUGCACUUUCAAACUGAUUAAUUAAAUAUUUUGUCUAAAGUAAAUGAGUUCAAUGGCAAUGGCUCUGGACAACUGCUUUUUUUAAUGUUGCCAUAAUUGUUUCAGUUCAUUAUGUUUUCCUCAGAAAAAUAAACACCUGCUGUUUGUUUUUGUUCUAAUCAGGAUGAGUUACAAGCCCUUGAUGAAGUUCAACCUGUUUCUAGAUGCUGCAAAGAGGUCAAUAAAUUUGUUGGAACAAAACCAGAUCCGCUACUACCUCUAAACAAGAAGCGAUGUCGAUCUUGUCGCCUUUGGAGGUAGAUCCGGCAUGUACUGAUGCUGAGCUUGUUGGCAUGAGGGAUUGCAAGUUGUUGUUGGCUUGGCUGCUGAGCAGCCUUCUCGCAUGAUCUCUGCCAAAUUGUCACCUGUGGAGAGAAAUUUUGAUUUAGUGUACGGUGGUGGUAGCAUAGGGUUGAUGGGUCUUUUUUAUCAAGCAUUUCAUGAUGGUGGGCGCCAUGUCUUGGGGGCCAUUCCAAAGUCUUUGAUGCCGAGAGAGGUUAGUUUCAGGUAGAAUCAGUCUUAGAUUUCCUUGGUUCUGUGAGUUAUUGCUUUACUUGUUUUGAUUGAGGAAAUACAAAUCUUCUUUCUUUCCCCA